GACAUCCUCUGACAACCCUGGAGACAGGGCCUUCCCCUUCGGGGGACAGAGUGACAGGUGGUGCAUGGUUGUCGUCAGCUCGUGUCGUGAGAUGUUGGGUUAAGUCCCGCAACGAGCGCAACCCUUGAUCUUAGUUGCCAGCAUUC
rnacentral:rRNA from 1 species